CUGACUGGAAAGGUUCACAUAAUCGUUUUGUUUAUCUUAAUGAUCUCAUUAGCAGCAAGAUUAGAAAGUCCUUCAGCACCUCUACCAGUGUGCUGAGCCCUGAAUGCUCAUCAUGUGGGAUGUCACACAGGUGCCUCCGUUCUGGUGGUGUGGAGGACCUGAAGUUUUGGCUUUGCAACUUGCUUCAGGAUAUGACCAUUUUUCAAACUUACAAAAAUGUUUGCAGACAGGUAACUCGGCACAGCUGUGCAACCCUUGACAACAUGAGGCUCUCUCUGGUGUCUGCUAUCUCCCCAGAGCAUCGUGACAAACUGGUGAAAGGUCCUUCCAGGCUCUUUGCAACUGCCUCUCAAAGCCUCUUUUGCUCUGGUGAAGGCGUUUAUGUGGUGACCACAGCAGGAGCACGCAAACGGCUUCAUUUCACACCACCACACUGUAUUUCAGGGUACUUCAAUGUCUCCCUAUGACAUAUCCUCAGGAAAUGCUUUGUCUCUUGGUUGAAUCCUGAAACAGGUUGUGUCUGAUUGGCAGCCCAGCAGCAAAACUUCUUGUGACUCAUUUAAGGAUCACAGAAACAAAAGAAUCUCUUUACCUCACAGUAAAAAUACCUUACAGCCCCAUCUGGAGAACAUCCCCUGUCCCUGUGCCUGCAGGACCAUCCUGAAGUUCAACCCCAUGAGAUGCCAAAUGGCAGACACCUCUCUGACCUCCAGAGGGGACCCAGCACCAGCCUGGAUAGAAGGUUUUGGGAGAGAGGAGAGGUAAACACAUGUGAGGGAGAAAGCGUGCAACCGAAAGGGAGAGAGGCUGUUGGAAGGUUUCGUCAUUCCCCUGUCUAGAAGAUAUUUCUCCAUUGACUCUAUUUAAAGUCAGCCCCAGGCUUGUGGGCUUACAGAGCUUUUAGCAGAUGAAAGAACUCACUCAUCAGGCAGAGUUUUCUUAUGUGCUUUUUUUUUUUUUUUUUUCCUCCCCAGCUCUCACCGGUCUGUUUUAAAGCCAUUUCAGCAAUUGUUGAAAACUGUCAGAUGCCUUUGACAGAUCAAUACCUUACCGGGGAAUUUGCAUGACCUGUUCGCCAAUCAAAAUGCAAAUUGGGGAUACGUUUAAAGCACGA
rnacentral:lncRNA from 1 species